rnacentral:rRNA from 1 species
UACGUAGGCAGCAAGCGUUGUUCGGAGUUACUGGGCGUAAAGGGUGCGUAGGCGGCUUUUUAAGUUUGGUGUGAAAUCUCCCGGCUCAACUGGGAGGGUGCGCCGAAUACUGAGAAGCUAGAGUGUGGGAGAGGAAAGUGGAAUUCCUGGUGUAGCGGUGAAAUGCGUAGAUAUCAGGAGGAACACCGGUGGCGAAGGCGGGUCUCUGGGCCAUAACUGACGCUGAGGAGCGAAAGCGUGGGGAGCGAACAGG